UUCGCAAUGCCCGAAAGGGUGACGAAGCGACGCCGCGUGCGGGAAGAAGGCCUUCGGGUUGUAAACCGCUGUCGGGAGUUAGGAAAUGCAAGGAUGUUAAUAGCGUCUUUGCUUGACUAAGGCUCCGGAGGAAGCCACGGCUAACUCUGUGCCAGCAGCCGUGGUAAUACAGAGGCGGCAAGCGUUGUUCGGAAUUAUUGGGCGUAAAGAGCACGUAGGCGGCCGUGUAAGUCGGUUGUGAAAGCCUUCCGCUCAACGGGAGAACGGUAUCCGAUACUGCAUGGCUCGAGUGCGGGAGGGGAGAGUGGAACUUCUGGUGGAGCGGUGAAAUGCGUAGAUAUCAGAAGGAACACCGGCGGCGAAGGCGACUCUCUGGCCCGUAACUGACGCUGAGUGUGCGAAAGCUAGGGGAGCAAACGGGAUUAGAUACCCCGGUAGUCCUAGCCGUAAACGAUGGGCACUAAGUAGAGGGGUUUU
rnacentral:rRNA from 1 species